rnacentral:rRNA from 1 species
GACGUAGGGCGCGAGCGUUGUCCGGAUUUAUUGGGCGUAAAGAGCUCGUAGGCGGCUUGUCGCGUCGUCCGUGAAAACCCGGGGCUCAACUCCGGGCUUGCGGGCGAUACGGGCAGGCUAGAGUUCGGUAGGGGAGACUGGAAUUCCGUGGUGUAGCGGUGAAAUGCGCAGAUAAUCAGGAGGAACACCGGUGGCGAAGGCGGGUCUCUGGGCCGAAUACUGACGCUGGAGGAGCGAAAGCGUGGGGAGCGAACAGGA